rnacentral:rRNA from 1 species
UACGGAAGGUGCGAGCGUUAAUCGGAAUUACUGGGCGUAAAGCGCACGUAGGCGGUUACUUAAGUCGGAUGUGAAAGCCCUGGGCUUAACCUGGGAAUUGCAUCCGAUACUGGGUGACUAGAGUACGGUAGAGGGGGGUGGAAUUCCAGGUGUAGCGGUGAAAUGCGUAGAUACCGGAAGGAACACCAGUGGCGAAGGCGACUCACUGGGCUUUAACUGACGCUGAGGUGCGAAAGCGUGGGGAGCAAACAGGAUUAGAAACCCUUGUAGU